AGUCAGUAUACGCAGACCCGAAACCGGGUGAUCUAUCCAUGUCCAGGUUGAAGUUGUCGUAAAAGACAAUGGAGGACCGAAGCCACAUCCGUUGAAAAGGGUGGGCAUGAGGUGUGGAUAGGGGAGAAAUUCCAAUCGAACCCGGAGAUAGCUGGUUCUCCUCGAAAUAGCUUUAGGGCUAGCCUCGAUUUAGUCUUAUGGAGGUAGAGCACUGAAUUUCCGCGGGGGCGUUAAAAGCUUACCAAAGAAUAUCAAAACUCCGAAUGCCAUGUAGAUGAUGAUCGGGAGUCAGACUGCACGAGAUAAGUGGGCAGUCAAAAGGGAAAGAGCCCAGACCACCGGCUAAGGUCCCAAAGUGCGUGUUAAGUGGAAAAGGAUGUGGGAAUUCGAAGACAACUAGGAUGUUGGCUCAGAAGCAGCCAUACAUUCAAAGAGUGCGUAACAGCUCACUAGUCGAGACGUUCCUGCGACCGAAAAUCGGUCCGGGGCUAGAAAACACGACACCGAAGCGUGACUCGCAAUG
rnacentral:rRNA from 1 species